rnacentral:lncRNA from 1 species
CAGCAUACACACAGAAAAUAAAAAAGUAGGAGCAGAAAACAAAUCAGUAUGCAUCAUCAUAAAACUCUCACACAUUGUCGAACUAGCUAGCAUUAAUAAUCUUCCGUUCUGAACAACACAGAGCAAAGCCAGCAGCGGCGCCGUUUCAAACAGCACGAACUCCCCUGUGCUCCUCGUCUUCCAAUUUUCCUACUUCUCCAACAUACCUCAAUUAAUUAUUACAGGCGUAUCUUUUGAACUUUGGUGUCGUUUGCUUUUCUCAGUUUUUCCUAAUUGAGCACAACGUUGAUGCAAACCGUUCUUACCAUCAAGGCAUCAAUGUAACCACGCACCCAAAGAGCAUGCGGGUCCUCAUCACGCUGGACUGGCGGGUGGCACACCGAACCAUGGCUCACCCAUCGCGUCCUUAAGGAGCACGCCGAACAGCUUCACGUUCUUCUCCUCGCACUCGGGUCGGCCCUGGCGUCCGCAGUCGGCAGGUGUCGUGCCUGUUGGAGGAGGCAGGUGCGCGGUCGGCGGACUGGUGGAGGAGGCGGGGCGCGGCCGCGCGGGCAGGUGGAGGAGGCGGGGCGUGGCCGCGCGGGCUGGUGGAGGAGGAGGCGCGGGCCGGCGGACUGGCGGAGCGAGGCCGCUCGGGGAGGAAGCUAGGCGUCAGCGGAAGGCGGAGAGCUGGAGGAGAGGCGGCCAGGUGGGGGCGUGAGCGCGACGGCGCGGUGGAGGGCAGGCGCCCCGGCCUGGCGGCGGACACGGGAGGGGAUUCAGGCGGGGCGGGGAAUUUGGGGGUUAGGGUUAGGUCAGUGGGGCUGAGGGCAUCCGGGUUUAUAUACGAUGUGUAUUGGUUUGGGCCUUAGGGAAAGAAUAAUGGACGUAUGUACUGGGCUGGCUAGUCAAGUGCAGGUACAUGGGUGUACGGGUUCGGGUAGUACAAUACCAUAUCCGUAUCCGUCAUACCUGUCGGUACAGAAUUUUACCAUUUGCGUAUCCGCGGGUAUUUUUUCUCACC